CAUCUACUCCCUCCGUUCGGAAUUACUUGUCUCGGAAAUGGAUGUAUCUAGAACUAAAAUACGUCUAGAUACAUUCAUCUCCGCGACAAGUAAUUUUGAACGGAGGGAGUGGUUA
rfam:Triticum aestivum genome assembly, contig: Triticum_aestivum_CS42_TGACv1_scaffold_194142_3AL